AUAGGAGGUUUUAGUGGGGAACUAAGCUGGGACUUAUACUAUCUAGGAACCGGUUCGGUCCCAACUGAUUCCCAUCCGGAUGAGAACGCCGGGUUUUAAAAUGCUGAUUUGGGCUAUGUUUUGCCUUCUUGAUAGCCAGGCUCAGGCCAACCAUAUCCGAACUUGGUCCCCGAUUGAUCCCUGAAUUUCCUAUUUUCAGAAGAAACUAAAGACACAAGAUUCAAUGAUCUGACCUUUAACAAUUUGACUGGCGGAAUUCCUCCCUUUUUAAAGGACUUACAACGCCUUGAUAGAUUGUACCUUAAAAGCAACAACUUGACUGGACAUGUGCCUGAUUGGAUUUUGACAAUGGAUCCUGACGUGUAUGUAU